AGCCUAUAGCUCUAGUAGCCUGCUGAUUUCGGCUUAGUAUAAAGUGACGCGUGUCACAUAGGUUU
rnacentral:tRNA from 1 species